CAUCAUUCUUUAACACCUUAUUUAAAGUCUAACUGUUUUCUCCUUAGUCACAGCUUGUUGUCUUCUUCGUCCUCCUGCUGCUGUUUCAUGAGAUAUAAACGCAGCCGUGGAGCCCUCCUCUUCAAGCUAAUAGGAAGCCCUAGCAAGAGAUCUGAAGGAGAGAAGUGAGUGAAGUCAGCGUAUUCAUUCUUCUGGGUCCUUCCACUUCAAGUCUGCCUCCGACUGAUUGCGUCCCUAACCAAAGAUGCAUGGAGACAAAUGAGAAGACGAGUGACUCCACGUUGCUUGGCAGGACCGAAGUCACAUAAUGCCACCUAUGCAGAGCGUGUCUGAACCAGGCCUGGGCAGUCCUGGGGAAAGGGCUUUGGGGCGGGGCCGGCACUGGAAUCACUGUCCCCUCCUCCACUGCCCAUCUCCCUCCACUGCUGACAAUCUCUGCACUGAAGUCUCUUGGAGCAUCUUCAAUGACUUUGAGAGCAAACACAUUUUAUUUUCCCAGAAGACUGUAUAGUUUGCUAAAUCUCAUAAAGUUAGUGACUAGAAGAACUGGAAACGAAAUGCGGAGAAUCACAUUUAGCUCCUCUUUAUUGCCUGUAACAGCACCACGUAAUAACAGCGAUGAAACAGCAGCCCUCAUUUUGAUCUCUUCAAGUCCUAUAUGUGCACUGUAUCUCAGCUUUGGCAAUCAUCGUUGUGUUUGCUGAGGAUUCAUUAUGUUCUUCUGAGUAAAUAAAUACUGUAAUUUCACCUAAAAUGUUAUUUUGCUCUUAUCCAAUUCUUAUUGUCUUCAGCGAUAUUUUAAAACCAAAAUGGGAAGCUUAACCCUGGGUCACCUGAUGCCCAAAUGAUAGUUUAAAAAAUA
rnacentral:lncRNA from 1 species